AACUGUUUCGAAAUCAAGUAAUGAACACAUUUUUGACUGUGUACACGUUGAAAUAGUGACAACUGACAUAGUCUACGGUCAUACAGCACGGAGCGAAAUCACACGUUAUUUUAUACGUUCCGUGUCCUAAGGAGUGAUUCGAAAAUGGCGUCCUACUACAAGGCGUUUGGAGAGGAUUUACCUCGUUUCGAAAUUUAAGCGACUGCAUCAACCUGUGAUUGACAAGAAAAAGAAUAACUUGGAAUGGCGUUUGGCUAAUAAUUCAGGACGACCCCUUAGGCAUCGUAAAUAGAGGUGGAACUGGAGUUCAAAAUGGCGUCUCGUUCCAGAGACGAUGGUUGGGAUUCAUCUGAUGAAGACACAAUUUCGG